GGCCUCUUAGCUCAGAUGGUUAGGGUGUUGGUUGUACUAAAGCGGUCUCCUUGCUGGUGUGGGUUUGAAUCCCACAUAGGCCG
rnacentral:tRNA from 1 species